CACGCCUCUCCCUUUAUAAAAUAGUAGGCAACAGGCGCCCUGGGUCAGCAUCGCCUAAACCCGUGCGGACGGCUUUCAGAAGACAGAGAGCGGCACGCCGCUGUGGCUGCUUUAGCAGCCCGCCUCGGAGAUAGUGGCUGCACCUCCCUCCACCUCCUUACGCCGAAUGCGCCCAUGGGUUCUUCUGUCCAGGCGCCGGCCACACCCCUACCACCUGCCGCACUACCCCCCGGAGCACAGCUACAGCCUCACAGGCAACCACCCCAGGGUCUUUGUGAGGCACUCAUGGAAUCGUCCUCACCAGCAUAAUCACCAUCGUGGCUCUGUUAGAGGGGGACAGCAUGGGAACCGUCAUCACACCGUGUAUGUCUCCCGUCCCUUCCUGCUCUCCCAGAUUCCGCUGCCUCCACACUCCGUUCCAGACCCCCACAACCAGCAGGGAUACUCAAUCCAACACAUGCCAGUGCCAAGUACCUCUCAGCUGCCUAGUAAUUCCCCUUUUCUGCAGCAGCAGUCCAAUGACCUUACCCACCAGCCAGGCAACAUCUAUCACCCUUCGACCAGCGUCAGUCA